AGCCGAGAUCACACCACUGCACUCCAGCAUGAGACUCUGUAUCAAAAAAAAAAAAAAAAAAAAAAAUUCUGCGUGAGUUGUGUGGAGGUGUCAGUACCUUUCCCCAGCAAGAGAAGCUUCUCCAUAUCAGGCAUAUCCUAGCCAUGACCCUGAAACUAACCAGCCAAGAGGGAAAUGUGAGACAAGCCCAGGCAAGCUUCCUGGAUGUUGUAUGCAGGAAUAGGAUGUGCUCUCUGGACUUGGAGACUUCCUGCCUGCUCAAGAGGCUGUGCCUCCUUGUGUCUCCCACAGGCCUCUGUGUCCACCUUCCCCACCCUGGCAGGCCUGCUAGGCCAGCAGCCCUGGAGAGGAAAGGGUGAGGUGGUGUUUGAAGGGACCUGCCUCCUACGAGCUCUGCUGGUUGGACUGUCGGAUGACAGAACCGUGCCUCUGAGCCUGGGAGAGGGAGGCACCCCUGUGUUCUGGAAGCCCCCAGUGCUUCAGCAACUCCUCACUGAGGCAGAAUAGUGGAGGAAUCAAGCUGGGAUCCAGGGGACUGAGGAGGGGAUAGAGCAGCACCUGGGCCCCACAUUCCCUUCCAACAGAGCCUGGGGUGCUGUGUUUCCGGGAGGGUUUUUUUUGUUUUUUGUUUUCCCGAGACAGAAUCUCGCUCUGACCCCCAGCCUGGAGUGCAGUGGCAUGAUCUCGGCUCACUGCAACCUCCGCCUCUCGGGUUCAAGCAAUUCUCCUGCCUCAGCCUCCCGAGUAGCUGGGAUUACAGGUGCACACCACCACACCUGGCUAAUUUUUGUAUUUUUUAUAGAGACGGGGUUUCACCAUGUUGGCUAGGCUGGUCGUGAACUUCUGACCUCAUGAUCUGCCUGCCUCAGACUCCUAAAGUGCUGGGAUUACAGGUGUGAGCCACUGCACCCGGCCUCUUUUUUUUUUUUUUUUUUUUUUUUUGUGAGACAGAGUCUCUGUCCCCCAGGCUGGAGUUCAGUGGUGCAAUCUCGGCUCACUGCAACCUCUGUCUCCUGGUUUCAAGCAAUUCUCCUGCUUCAGCCUCUGAAUAGCUGGGAUUACCGACAUGCACCACCACGCCCAUAUAAUUUUUGUAUUUUUUGUAGAGCUGAAGUUUCACUAUGUUGGCCAGGCUGGUCUCAAACUCCUGACUUCUGGUGAUCCACCCACCGUGGCCUCCCAAAGUGCUGGGAUUGCAGGUGUGAGCCACCGUGCCCGGCCAGAGCCUGGGGUUCUCAAACUCGUUUCUGGGGACCGCCCACCACUUUUCUUGCCAGUGCCCAUCUUCCAGGUUCCUCCCAGGCUGCUUCUGCCUGCCUUGUCCUCUUCCUGCCUGUCACACCACACUCUCCCACCAGCAUCUUCCUCAUUCCGCUCUGACUCUCCUCACCACCCAGCCCGACCUGACUGAAAACCCCGCAGUGGGAGAGCAGGAGGCCCCUGCUUCUAGGUGCCGUGUGAGAAGCAGCUGUGAGGUCGGGUUGGGUGGCUCACGCCUGUAAUCCCAGCACUUUGGGAGGCCGAGGUGGGCGGGUCACAAGGUCAGGAGUUCAAGACCAGCCUGGCCAAUAUGGUGAAAACCCAUCUCUACUAAAAGUACAAAAAAAAUAGCCAGGUGUGGUGGCGGGUGCCUGUAAUCCCAGCCACUCAGGAGGCUGAAGCAGGAGAAUCGCUUGAACUUGGGAGGCAGAGGGUGCAGUGAGCCGAGAUCAUGCCACUGCACUCCAGCCUGGGCAACAGAGCGAGACUCCAUAAAAAAGAAAAAGAGAUUUAAUUGGCUCACAGUUCUGCAGGGGUUACAGGAAGCAUAGCACCCACAUCACUCAGCUUCUGGGGAGGCCUCAGAGAGCUUUUACUCAUGGCAGCAGGUGAAGAGGGAGCAGGCGAGUCACAUAGUGAGAGCAGGAGCAGGCGAGAGAGAGGCCAGAGGUGCCACACGCUUCUAAAUGACCAGAUCUCGCGGGAACCCACUAUCACAAAGACAGCUCUGAGCCGUGAGGGAUCCGCCUCAUGAUCCACACACCUUCUGCCAGGCCCCACCUCUAGCACUGGGGAUCACAAUUCAACAUGAGAUUUGGGUGAGGACAGAUAUCCAAACUGUGUGGACAGAGGUGAUGCUCCUCUACUUGUUGAACUCUUGAACACUAGUGAAGAGAAUGCUGGUGUAUUAGUCUGCCAGGCUGCUGUUGCAGAAUACCAUGAACUGGGCACUUAAGCAACUGAAAUAGAUUUUCUCACAGUGCUGGAGGCUAGAAGUCCAAGAUCCAGGUGCCAGCAGGUUUGGUAUCUCCUGAGGCCUCGCCCCUGCGCUUGCAGACAGCCGCCUUCUCACUGGGUCCUUACAGGGCCUUUUUCUUUGAGCCAGUGUAGAGAGCUCUGUUCUUUCUUCCUCUUUUUAUAAGCACACCAGUCCUAUUUAAUUAGGGUCCCACCCUAUGGCCUCAUUUAAUCAUUUGUUGUUGUGUUUUUUUUUUUUGAGACGAGGUCUCACUGUGUUGCCCAGGUUAGUCUCAAACCCCUGGUCACAAGUGAUCUUCCCACAUUGGCCUCCCAAAGUGCUCAGAUUACAGGUGUGAGCCAUUGCGCCCAGUCUCAUUUAACCUUAAUUACUAAUUUAAAGGUGCCAUCAUGGCCAGGCGCGGUGGCUCACACCUGUAAUCCCAGCACUUUUGGAGGCCAAGGUGGGCGGAUCACUUGCAGCCAGGAGUUCGAGACCAGCCUGGCCAACAUGGUGAAACCCCCGU
rnacentral:lncRNA from 10 species